rnacentral:ncRNA from 1 species
CGGUUUUGACGCAAUGUGAUUUCUGCCCAGUGCUCUGAAUGUUAAAGUGAAGAAAGUCAAUCAAGCGCGGGUAAGCGGCGCGAGUAACUAUGACUGUCUUGUCGAAUCGGGAGGCAGGGUGACUCGUUGAAGAGCCCAUCAACAGUGUGAUACCGGCAGCCGAGAGGUGUCUUGUUAAGGGGCCCAGCCGCCUCCUCGUGGCCCCACUGGUUAGGGACUGCCGGAACUGUAGUUCUGAGCUAAGUGCUGGUGCCCGCCGACGGCUGGGCUAAUCACCUGGUCGGAGGUUAUAGCGGCGAUUACUACUGAAACAA